rnacentral:ncRNA from 1 species
UUCUUCGGGGCAGGGUGAGAUUCCCGACCGACGGUAAGAAGUUUAUAUAAACUUUAAGCCCGUGACCUGCUAUAUAUAAUAUAGUGGCUGAUCUGGUGUAAUUCCAGAGCCGACAGUACAGUCUGGAUGGGAGAAGAUG